GGCUAUGAAGGCAAUCUGGCUGCAAUAUCUGUCAUCCCAUUGAUCUCCAGGGUUGAUUCGGCUGAUCUGGCUGGCUAGGCAGGUACCCCCUUCCUCCCUCACCACUCCAUGUGCAUCCCUCCCAAAGCUGCAUGCUUGGUGGAAGAGGAUGGCCUUCCCUGAGUAGAGACGUGCCAGUCUUUGGUAUAUGAGUACCUGUACUCCCCUCCUAGAACCUCCAAAAAAACUCUCAAGGUCCAUUUGUAGAAGAAUGAAGGGCAGCUUUCAAGACUCCAGACACAUCCAAAUGAGGUGCUGCAUGUGGCAAUCUGCCUUUCUAA
rfam:Erinaceus europaeus unplaced genomic scaffold scaffold01208, whole genome shotgun sequence